AUUGAAUAUGUAGAUGAAGGUACAGAGAAUUGUUUCUCUGUUUAAAAGGGAAACAGGUGGAAAUCCUGUACGGUCCCGCCGCUGUAAUGGCGAAGAAUUUAAAAUACAUGCCACUGAGAUAAUCGGGAAGGCUUUAAAUUCUAAUGAACCAAAGUCAGAAGACCUGCCUUUAUUUAUGCACCAAA
rnacentral:ncRNA from 2 species